CUGCCCUUGAUUAUUUGAGUUAAUUCACCUGUGUCUUGUUAUAGAUCCUCAUUUGGUCCAUGUGUUUAAGGUACUCCCUUUCUGUUCAUUGUUGUUGGUUCUUGAAUGUCUAUACCUGCUCUGUCUGGAUUACCUUCUUGUGGAUUAUUCACGAGUUCACCCUUACUGUAACCGGAAUGAGUAUGUUGUGCGGUUAGGUAGGUAGAUGACGUAAUGGGUAGGUGGCGUAUAAAGUCUCGCGGGCGUCAAGGAAACAGCGUUUGCUCUCGUUCUACGCUUGGUGAGCGAGUUUGUGCUUCUUCCUCUGCUGGCGCGUUGAAGGAACGACUUGACCUAUUGUGUCCGAAAACUCGGAGAUUGUUCCGGUUUUAAUGAUCGAGGUGAGAGCAGAGUGCACUUGUCAUUUUGCGCUUUGUUACGACCACUGGACGUAAGUAAUGAUUAAGCUAGUUUUUAAAGACUUAUACACUUUAAGUAUCCUUUAAAGGAGCAUUAAUACAUUAGCAACGUGAGUAUUUUCUGGAUUGUCAAAUGUAGAAUGUGGUGUGUAAUAAAAUUUAAAUGGUUUUAAUUACAGGACAUCAAAACCUUCUUUGGCAAGUGGCCAUCGUUUUUUUCCCCACCAAACUUGGGAUUUGGUUGUUUUGUUUUGUUUUAUUUGUGGCAUUCAUUUUGCAGGAUCUGCCUGUUUUAUUUGAAUGGUAGAGUGCUGUAUUGGGAGGCCUUGUUUGAUUUGUGUGUUUUACGUAUAAUGGUUUGAUUGGGUUUGAUUUUUAUUUUCUUUAUAUUUUUUUGAUUGGGUUUGACUUUUGGGUUUGUUUUUUUUCUUCCUCCCAUGUGGUAUAUUUCCCAUUUUAGUAUUCUAGGUUGAUUUGGGUGUUAUUUUGAGUGCCAUUCUUAUGUUUUCUUUUGGGUUAAAGUAUGAUUUCUCUGUUUAAUUAAUGUGAAUAUCAGUCUAAUGAUUGGUUUCUCUUAUUGAAUGUUGUUAGAUUUCGAUUUGUUUGGAGUGUUAUUUCUUUUGGAAAUUAAUUUGGUUUACUUUAAAUCCAUUCAGAGUGGUGUUUAAUUGUUGUAAUUAGUUUAUUUUUUUUAUUGGUUUCUUUGGUGUCAUGGAUGGUUUUACCAAGUCCUUCUACUCUUAAGAGAAGAUAAAAUUUUGCUCAUUCUGGAAAAUAAAGCAACCCUUUUUGUACUCUGGCUUCUAGUUCAUUUAUUUGAACCACCUGUGUGAUUCAAAGAAAAAACAAAAAAGAGAUUAGAUCAUUGUUAGGGUCCCACGUCCUAGAAUUUGUGGGUGGCGUAGUCAAUUUCGUCGACUAUUUUAUAACAACCAGCAAGCCUAGGUCACAUUACAUCUA
rnacentral:lncRNA from 1 species